rnacentral:tmRNA from 1 species
AAACUUGACCGGAUUGUAGCGAUAUACUAUACUACACAGUGUUACUGCGCGGCACUGCCGGUGCAGUGACUAUGGUGAUAAACGGCGUACGUAAUAAGCGUUGUGGACCAGGGGGCAGUACCCUGCGCCUCCGCCAGUGGAGUUGUUUUGGGGGGCGAAAUAGGUUCGACAUGACGUGGUAAAGGUAGUUUUUUCACUCGGCAUUGUACCGUCGUUAUCGGGCUAAAGAAAAUAGAUGCUAAUCUUAACAGGACGAGCAUGCUCGUUCGGAACCUCCGUAGGAGGCGCCGGAUGGCGAAGAAAGCCGCUUAAUUGCCUGUAUGGGCGUUAGGUGCUGACUUUGUCUGCUGUUCGUUAGUAGCGGGCAGUAGAGCGGCGGUUUGGGGGAUCCCGAGCAACAGAAUUCCCCCGCU